rnacentral:tRNA from 1 species
GUCAGGAUGGCCGAGUGGUCUAAGGCGCCAGACUAAGUUCUGGUCCUCGAAAGAGGGCGUGGGUUCAAAUCCCACUUCUGACA